rnacentral:rRNA from 1 species
UGAGGAAUAUUGGUCAAUGGGCGGAAGCCUGAACCAGCCAAGUAGCGUGCAGGAUGACGGCCCUAUGGGUUGUAAACUGCUUUUAUACAGGAAUAAAGUUAGCCACGUGUGGUUAUUUGUAGGUACUGUAUGAAUAAGGACCGGCUAAUUCCGUGCCAGCAGCCGCGGUAAUACGGAAGGUCCAGGCGUUCUCCGGAGUUAUUGGGGUUAAAGGGAGCGUAGGCCGUCUGUUAAGCGUGUGGUGAAAUGUAGAUGCUCAACAUCUGAAUUGCAGCGCGAACUGGCAGACUUGAGUGUGCGCAACGUAGGCGGAAUUCGUGGUGUAGCGGUGAAAUGCUUAGAUAUCACGAAGAACUCCGAUUGCGAAGGCAGCUUACGGGAGCACAACUGACGCUGAAGCUCGAAAGUGCGGGUAUCGAACA